UAAACAGCUAGCCUAACCCCCCAAACCCAAACAUACAACCAUAAAUACCACCACACAACAAGACUCACCAACUAAACCAUUUUCCCCUUCUAGUAUAGGAGACAGAAAAAAGAGACCAGAGCAAUAGAAAAAGUACCGCAAGGGAAAGCUGAAAAAGAAAUGAAAAAACCCAUAAAAGCAAAAAAAAGCAGAGACGCAACCUC
rnacentral:rRNA from 1 species